rnacentral:rRNA from 1 species
UACGGAGGGUGCAAGCGUUAUCCGGAUUCACUGGGUUUAAAGGGUGUGUAGGCGGGUAUUUAAGUCAGUGGUGAAAUCUCCAGGCUCAACCUGGAAACUGCCAUUGAUACUAUAUAUCUUGAAUUUUGUUGAGGUAGGCGGAAUAUGUCAUGUAGCGGUGAAAUGCAUAGAUAUGACAUAGAACACCAAUUGCGAAGGCAGCUUACUAAGCAAACAUUGACGCUGAGGCACGAAAGCGUGGGGAUCAAACAGG